UACGAAGGGGGCUAGCGUUGCUCGGAAUCACUGGGCGUAAAGCGCACGUAGGCGGCUUUCUAAGUCGGGGGUGAAAACUCCAGGCUCAACUUGGAGACGCCACCCGAUACUGCUCUGACUUGAGUUCGGUAGGGGAGUGGGGAAUUCCUGGUGUAGGCGGUGAAAUGCGCAGAUAAUCGGAAGGAACGCCGGUGGCGAAAGCGAUCGACUGGACCUCUUCUGACGCUGAGGCGCGAAAGCC
rnacentral:rRNA from 1 species